rnacentral:rRNA from 1 species
AUUGAACGCUGGCGGCAGGCCUAACACAUGCAAGUCGAGCGAGCGGCGGACGGGUGCGUACUGUAUGGGGACUGCCCGAUAGAUGCGGAUAACUACUGGAAACGGUGUCUAAUACCGCAUACUGCUGGAUAACCCAUAUGGGAGUAGCUAGUGGGUAAGGUAAUGGCUUACCUAGGCGACGAGCCCUAGCUGGUCUGAGAGGAUGAUCAGCCAAAUUGGGACUGAGACAAGGCCCAGACGCCGACGGAGGCAGCAGUGGGGAAUAUUGCACAAUGGGCGAAAGCCUGAUGCAGCCAUGCCGCGUGUGUGAAGAAGGCCCUAGGGUGGUAAAGUACUUUCAGUCGGGAGGCGUUACCGACAGAAGAAGCACCGGCUAACUCCGUGCCAGCAGCCGCGGUAAUUC